rnacentral:rRNA from 1 species
UAGUCCACGCCGUAAACGAUGGUCACUAGCUGUUCGGACUUCGGUCUGAGUGGCUAAGCGAAAGUGAUAAGUGACCCACCUGGGGAGUACGUUCGCAAGAAUGAAACUCAAAGGAAUUGACGGGGGCCCGCACAAGCGGUGGAGCAUGUGGUUUAAUUCGAUGAUACGCGAGGAACCUUACCAGGGCUUAAAUGUAAGUUGCAUUAGUUAGAGAUAGCUAUUUCUUCGGACUACUUACAAGGUGCUGCAUGGUUGUCGUCAGCUCGUGCCGUGAGGUGUCAGGUUAAGUCCUAUAACGAGCGCAACCCCUGUUGUUAGUUGCCAGCGAUUCAAGUCGGGAACUCUAACAAGACUGCCGGUGCAAACCGUGAGGAAGGUGGGGAUGACGUCAAAUCAUCACGGCCCUUACGUCCUGGGGCUACACACGUGCUACAAUGGGAGGGGUACAGAGGGGUUGCUACCUGGUAACAGGGAUGCCAAUCUCAAAAAACCCUUCU